UUGCAAGACAUUAUUCGGAGGUUCAAAGACGCUCACAGUAACUUUGAUGACUUCCCAGAAAAGGUUGCUCUGCAGCUGAAUGAUACUCACCCAUCUCUUGCGAUAGUUGAGGUCAUGAGAGUGCUCAUCGAUGAAGAGCAUUUGAGUUGGAGCAGAGCAUGGGACAUUGUGUGCAAGAUUUUCUCUUUUACAACUCACACAGUGUUGCCUGAAGGAUUGGAGAAAAUCCCUGUUGAUCUACUGGAAAGUCUUCUACCGCGC
rnacentral:misc_RNA from 1 species